rnacentral:rRNA from 1 species
GAUGAACGCUGGCGGCGUGCCUAAUACAUGCAAGUCGAGCGAACAGACGAGGAGCUUGCUCCUCUGACGUUAGCGGCGGACGGGUGAGUAACACGUGGAUAACCUACCUAUAAUACUGGGAUAACUUCGGGAAACCGGAGCUAAUACCGGAUAAUAUAUUGAACCGCAUGGUUCAAUAGUGAAAGACGGUUUUGCUGUCACUUAUAGAUGGAUCCGCGCCGCAUUAGCUAGUUGGUAAGGUAACGGCUUACCAAGGCAACGAUGCGUAGCCGACCUGAGAGGGUGAUCGGCCACACUGGAACUGAGACACGGUCCAGACUCCUACGGGAGGCAGCAGUAGGGAAUCUUCCGCAAUGGGCGAAAGCCUGACGGAGCCACGCCGCGUGAGUGAUGAAGGUCUUCGGAUCGUAAAACUCUUUUAUUAGGGAAGAACAAAAGUGUAAGUAACUAUGCACGUCUUGACGGUACCUAAUCAGAAAGCCACGGCUAACUACGUG